rnacentral:rRNA from 1 species
AGAGUUUGAUCCUGGCUCAGAACGAACGCUGGCGGCGUGUCUUAAGCAUGCAAGUCGAGCGGCAAGGGGGAGCAAUCCCCCCUAGAGCGGCGGACUGGUGAGUAACGCGUGGGUGAUCUGCCUUUGGGAUGGGGAUAGCCAUUAGAAAUAGUGGGUAAUACCGAAUGAGAUCGUAUGGUCAAGGCCAUAUGAUGAAAGGCGCUACGGCGCCGCCCGAAGAUGAGCCCGCGUCCCAUUAGCUAGUUGGUGAGGUAACGGCCCACCAAGGCGAUGAUGGGUAGCCGGCCUGAGAGGGUGUACGGCCACACUGGGACUGAGAUACGGCCCAGACUCCUACGGGAGGCAGCAGCUAAGAAUAUUCCGCAAUGGACGAAAGUCUGACGGAGCGACGCCGCGUGGAUGAAGAAGGCCGAAAGGUUGUAAAAUUCUUUUGCUGGGGAAGAAUAAGUCUGGGAGGGAAUGCCCGGAUGAUGACAUGAACCGGCGAAUAAGCCCCGGCUAACUACGUGCCAGCAGCCGCGGUAACACGUAGGGGGCGAGCGUUGUUCGGAAUUACUGGGCGUAAAGGGCAUGUAGGCGGCUUUGUAAGCCUGGCGUGAAAGUCUGCAGCUUAACUGCGGGAAUGCGUUGGGAACUGCGAAGCUUGAGUUACGGAGAGGGAGCUAGAAUUCCUGGUGUAGGGGUGAAAUCUGUAGAGAUCAGGAAGAAUACCAAUGGCGAAGGCAAGCUUCUGGCCGAUGACUGACGCUGAGGUGCGAAAGUGUGGGGAUCAAACAGGAUUAGAUACCCUGGUAGUC